rnacentral:rRNA from 1 species
GAUGAACGCUGGCGGCGUGCCUAAUACAUGCAAGUCGAGCGAACAGACGAGGAGCUUGCUCCUCUGACGUUAGCGGCGGACGGGUGAGUAACACGUGGAUAACCUACCUAUAAGACUGGGAUAACUUCGGGAAACCGGAGCUAAUACCGGAUAAUAUAUUGAACCGCAUGGUUCAAUAGUGAAAGACGGUUUUGCUGUCACUUAUAGAUGUAUCCGCGCCGCAUUAGCUAGUUGGUAAGGUAACGGCUUACCAAGGCGACGAUGCGUAGCCGACCUGAGAGGGUGAUCGGCCACACUGGAACUGAGACACGGUCCAGACUCCUCCGGGAGGCAGCAGUAGGGAAUCUUCCGCAAUGGGCGAAAGCCUGACGGAGCAACGCCGCGUGAGUGAUGAAGGUCUUCGGAUCGUAGAACUCUGUUAUUAGGGAAGAACAAAUGUGUAAGUAACUAUGCACGUCUUGACGGUACCUAAUCAGAAAGCCACGGCUAACUACGUG